UAUUUUACAGAGAGCAGAGGCCAUAC
rnacentral:piRNA from 1 species